GGCCAAGUUUUUAAGGGCGCACGGUGGAUGCCUUGGCACCAGGAACCGAUGAAGGACGUGAGAGGCCGCGAUAGGCCCCGGGGAGCUGCCAACUGAGCUUUGAUCCGGGGGUGUCCGAAUGGGGAAACCCGGCAGUCGUCAUGGGCUGUCACCCACUGCUGAACACAUAGGCAGUGUGGAGGGAACGAGGGGAAGUGAAACAUCUCAGUACCCUCAGGAAGAGAAAACAACCGUGAUUCCGGGAGUAGUGGCGAGCGAAACCGGAUGAGGCCAAACCGUAUGCGUGUGAUACCCGGCAGGGGUUGCGCAUGCGGGGUUGUGGGAAUGAGCUUUCACAGUCUGCCGGCUGUGAGGCGAGUCAGAAACCGUAUGGAUAGGCGAAGGACAUGCGAAAGGUCCGGCGUAGAGGGUAAGACCCCCGUAGCUGAAAUCUGUACGGCUUGCUUGCUCAUCUCCCAAGUAGCACGGGGCCCGAGAAAUCCCGUGUGAAUCUGGCGGGACCACCCGCUAAGCCUAAAUAUUCCCUGGUGACCGAUAGCGGAUAGUACCGUGAGGGAAUGGUGAAAAGUACCGCGGGAGCGGAGUGAAAUAGUACCUGAAACCGUGUGCCUACAAGCCGUGGGAGCGUCGGAUCAGCUUGCUGUAUCUCGUGACUGCGUGCCUUUUGAAGAAUGAGCCUGCGAGUUAGCGGUGUGUAGCGAGGUUAACCCGUGUGGGGAAGCCGUAGCGAAAGCGAGUCCGAAUAGGGCGAUUGAGUUGCACGCUCUAGACCCGAAGCGGAGUGAUCUAGCCAUGGGCAGGUUGAAGCGGAGGUAAGACUUCGUGGAGGACCGAACCCACCAGGGUUGAAAACCUGGGGGAUGACCUGUGGUUAGGGGUGAAAGGCCAAUCAAACUCCGUGAUAGCUGGUUCUCCCCGAAAUGCAUUUAGGUGCAGCGUCGUGUGUUUCUUGCCGGAGGUAGAGCACUGGAUAGGCGAUGGGCCCUACCGGGUUACUGACCUUAGCCAAACUCCGAAUGCCGGUAAGUGAGAGCACGGCAGUGAGACUGUGGGGGAUAAGCUCCAUGGUCGAGAGGGAAACAGCCCAGAGCAUCGACUAAGGCCCCUAAGCGUACGCUAAGUGGGAAAGGAUGUGGAGUCGCAGAGACAACCAGGAGGUUGGCUUAGAAGCAGCCACCCUUGAAAGAGUGCGUAAUAGCUCACUGGUCAAGUGAUUCCGCGCCGACAAUGUAGCGGGGCUCAAGCGUACCGCCGAAGUCGUGUCAUUGCAGCAAUAGGGCCAACGCCCGCUGUGAUGGGUAGGGGAGCGUCGUGUGCCGGGUGAAGCAGCCGCGGAAGCGAGUUGUGGACGGUUCACGAGUGAGAAUGCAGGCAUGAGUAGCGAUACACACGUGAGAAACGUGUGCGCCGAUUGACUAAGGGUUCCUGGGUCAAGCUGAUCUGCCCAGGGUAAGUCGGGACCUAAGGCGAGGCCGACAGGCGUAGUCGAUGGACAACCGGUUGAUAUUCCGGUACCCGCUUUGAAACGCCCAAUAUCGAAUCCUCUGAUGCUAAGGCCGUGAAGCCGUUCCGGACCCUUCGGGGAAAGGAAAGUGGUGGAGCCGCCGAUCCAAGGUGGUAGUAGGUAAGCGAUGGGGUGACGCAGGAAGGUAGUCCAGCCCGGGCGGUGGUUGUCCCGGGGUAAGGGUGUAGGCCGUGUGGUAGGCAAAUCCGUCACACGUUAAGGCUGAGACCUGAUGCCGAGCCGAUUGUGGUGAAGUGGAUGAUCCUAUGCUGUCGAGAAAAGCCUCUAGCGAGUUUCAUGGCGGCCCGUACCCUAAACCGACUCAGGUGGUCAGGUAGAGAAUACCGAGGCGUUCGGGUGAACUAUGGUUAAGGAACUCGGCAAAAUGCCCCCGUAACUUCGGGAGAAGGGGGGCCAUUCCUGGUGAUGAGACUUGCUCUCUGAGCUGGGGGUGGCCGCAGAGACCAGCGAGAAGCGACUGUUUACUAAAAACACAGGUCCGUGCGAAGCCGUAAGGCGAUGUAUACGGACUGACGCCUGCCCGGUGCUGGAACGUUAAGGGGACCGGUUAGCUCUGUUUCGACAGGGCGAAGCUGAGAACUUAAGCGCCAGUAAACGGCGGUGGUAACUAUAACCAUCCUAAGGUAGCGAAAUUCCUUGUCGGGUAAGUUCCGACCUGCACGAAUGGCGUAACGACUUCUCGACUGUCUCAACCAUAGGCCCGGUGAAAUUGCACUACGAGUAAAGAUGCUCGUUUCGCGCAGCAGGACGGAAAGACCCCGGGACCUUUACUACAGUUUGAUAUUGGUGUUCGGUUCGGCUUGUGUAGGAUAGGUGGGAGACUUUGAAGCAGCCACGCCAGUGGUUGUGGAGUCGCCGUUGAAAUACCACUCUGGUCGUGCUGGAUGUCUAACCUCGGUCCGUGAUCCGGAUCAGGGACAGUGUCUGAUGGGUAGUUUAACUGGGGCGGUUGCCUCCCAAAGGGUAACGGAGGCGCCCAAAGGUUCCCUCAGCCUGGUUGGCAAUCAGGUGUUGAGUGUAAGUGCACAAGGGAGCUUGACUGUGAGACCGACGGGUCGAGCAGGGACGAAAGUCGGGACUAGUGAUCCGGCGGUGGCUUGUGGAAGCGCCGUCGCUCAACGGAUAAAAGGUACCCCGGGGAUAACAGGCUGAUCUUCCCCAAGAGUCCAUAUCGACGGGAUGGUUUGGCACCUCGAUGUCGGCUCGUCGCAUCCUGGGGCUGGAGUCGGUCCCAAGGGUUGGGCUGUUCGCCCAUUAAAGCGGUACGCGAGCUGGGUUUAGAACGUCGUGAGACAGUUCGGUCCCUAUCCGCUGUGCGCGUAGGAAUACUGAGAAGGGCUGUCCCUAGUACGAGAGGACCGGGACGGACGAACCUCUGGUGUGCCAGUUGUCCUGCCAAGGGCAUGGCUGGUUGGCUACGUUCGGGAGGGAUAACCGCUGAAAGCAUCUAAGCGGGAAGCCUGCUUCAAGAUGAGUAUUCCCACCUCCUUGAGAGGGUAAGGCUCCCAGUAGACGACUGGGUUGAUAGGCCAGAUGUGGAAGCCCGGUAACGGGUGGAGCUGACUGGUACUAAUAGGCCGAGGGCUUGUCCUC
rnacentral:rRNA from 1 species